rnacentral:piRNA from 1 species
UCCUUGAAGGUGGACCCAUCAUUCAACGA